AAAACAAAAAUGAUAAUGCGUCACAAUAAGAAACCAUGAUGUUAGGUUUAUAAAUCAUAUACCGCAAGAAAGCUUACCUGUAUAAAAUAUAUAAUCUAGAGAGCCAAUAAAAUCUCUAGUGACAUUUGUGAAUAAAGGUUCAUUUGUUGUGCUGUCAAGUCUACGUUUAUGCUGUUCAUAACCAAGACCCAUUGUCCUUGCAAAGGAUGAAUAUGCACUGACCUGAAAUUCAAAGUAAGAUGAGUCAGGAAGAAAAAACAGGGCGGAAUUUAUAGAACCAACGUGAGAGACCAUACUACUUCAUAGGUUCUGUACCUAACAACAAAGAAAAAACCAACAAAAUAAAAAGAAUUACAUUAUGGAUUGUACUUGAAUGAAUGAAUACAUUACCAGUGGCAACUGGUGAACCAACUUGCUGUGAGGGCGCAAAAUAUUAAGUGGGUCAACGGCUAAAUCGGGAUGUGAAGGAUCUACCUUCCCCAUUGCAAGAAGUGCAUGGGGAGCACUACAACAAAGUAUGAAUACAACUUAGAAACAAAUUACACAUAAUGAUAAAAAAAUUCCCUUGUGGAGCAAAAAUGCAUUGAAAUUAAGCAUAAAGAGAGGGAAUCCAACCUUCCUGGAACUGAGUUGAAGUCUCCACAAACCAACAUUGGAAUGUCUGCACUAGCAGCUAUUUUCUCCAAUCCUUUUAACAGUGUAUGCACCUAACGGAGGGAGGAAGAAAAUUUUUAACCAUUACACUCAUCAUAAACACAAUGUAAAACAUGAACGUUUGAAGGGAAUGCCUUACCUGCCAGAGCUUGACAUCCUUUAAAUCUUGCUGCACAUUUACAUGAGUAUUUGCCUAGCAUCCAUAAGAAAUUAUAUUUUAGCAAUAGCAAUUAUUUUGAUAAAAAUUGUAUUUUGAAUUCAAACCUAAGCAAGAAAAGUAAGGCAGACAAUACCAUCUCUUUCUUAAAGGAAUAAUAAUUCACCCUUAAACAAAAUUCAUUUAAAAGAGAAUCAACAAAAUUUUGAAGCCAAACAUUUAUGCCAGUCUUUCAAUGAGACUAGAGUUUAUUUAGAGAAAAAAAGUAAACACCUCAGCAUCUGCCUAAUCCACAGUUCUUGAACCAGCCUAAAAGGUAAAAACACAUAGCUAAGAAAAUAGGCCAUCAAAAAUCAAAGUGGAAGCUGAUUGAGAAAGGAAACAUGCUUAAAUGAAACAAACAAAUUUCCAACACAUAUUACCAUCCUUAAUAAUAAUGGAAUACUAAGAAGAAAAUCAAGUGGAAAAAGCUGCUUCAGAAGGAGCAUGCUUAAAAGACACAAACAUGCCUAACAUAUAUUGGGAUGACCACUCUGACUAAAAUGGAAUAUUAAGAAGAAUAAUUCCACAGAGCAGAUUCUAGAUGCAUCAAGGACCAAAAGGGAAGAGACAACCACCUAAGUGAUCAAGGAACAUGAAUAAAUCAAAAAAUAGAAAAAACAUACCACACAUAGAAGCUGCCUUUUUCCUGGAUUAUCAACAGGUUGAUUGUUAACCUUUGCCUCUAGAACAACUAUUAGUGCAACAUUAUCCUAAAAGACAAAAUGGAAACUCGGUAAGCAUCAUUUCUAUGAGAUACUAUUACUAUCUUCGGCAUACAAAAGGUGACAAGUUAUGUUCAACAAGUCACCUUAACAAGCCGAUUCAAGGCAGUUUUCCUCUGGGUGGUGGGGAUCAUGGCAUCUGUUAAUGACUGUGCAGCCUUAUUAAAUUCAACCUGUGUGCAUAUAUCACUGAGUUGAGUAUAAAAUUAUUGGAAACACUACAAAGUACACAUAAAAUAAUCCCUAACCUCAUAUUUCUUCACAUGUGAAAAUCUGUCUCUACGAAAAAAUGUUGCACAACCAUCAAUUUUAUUGUUGCUAUCAUUGUAUACCUGCAAGUUCACAAAGCAUAAUUAAACAUUCGAAACGAAUUUAAAAAUUCUGUCAAAACAAACUAAAACACGGCAACCACCUCAUUUGUUUUUCUCUUGUAAAGACCAUAAUAGCCAUGUUUAUCCAGUUCUGGGGAAAAAAAUUCCUCAUAAUGGUCACUUUGAACCUGCAACAGUACAAUAAAACAAAUAGUACUUUAUUCAAAACAAUUUUUAAAAAAAUAAAAUUAGAAAUAAAUUUAGAAAAACAGAUGUCAUUAAAGAUCAGUAUAGAUAACAGCCAAAAGCAGAUGAACAUACCUCCUGCAGACAAAUAAUAUCUGCACGGUAACCAACUAUUUCUCGUAACAAAUUUUGCCGGCGAUAUGGCCACGAAAGAGCCCAUGAAGGGCAAUAAUUGUAAAGAUCGCUUGAGGCAUAUGCAUCAGAUAAUAUGUUAUAUGAUAGAACUGUAAAAGAUCCUGAAGAUGUUAUACGCCCAUCAGCAUCUAAAUGCCCCAUCGGAUCAACAGGUAUCAUUCGUCGUGGGCUAGGCACUCAAACUUCAGGACAUGACCAAUGUCAUCGGCAGUAGGGGUGUAUGUCUUAGAGCGUCCAACUUCAAACCACGUUUCACCACCGCUUCGCUGUGUAACUGCUGCCGGAUACAAUGGUGCAGAUCCAUUUGUCAAGCUAGCACUUGAUGCAGAGGCAGAUAAGCUAGUAUUUGAUGAUCCAGAGCCAGAAUUAUUAAAACGCCCAAAUAACUCCUCCUCUUCAUUUCCAUUUUCAUUGAUUGCACUUGCAGCACGGUCAUGUAAGACACGAUGAUGUUGCCAUGCAUCUGAAAAACACUUUGAUGUGCAAUGGUAACUCUUGGCAACAGGUAUUUUGGCCUUAACACAACCUAGACACUGCAGGGUGGCUUGCUCUGAUGGGUGUAUGCUACAAACAGCAACCUUUUUAUCACUUUGUACACGAUACCUGCCAUAAGAAAUGUCGAAAUGAUCAUGUCAAAAAACAGAGCAACUAUUUGGAGAAUCACCUUUGUAAAAAAACUAUGUAUAGAAGAAUACUAUUAAGACGUAGAGAUUACUUUUGGUGAUAAACAAAGUGACACCAUAAACAUUCUUGCAAAUCAUAAAUUAAAAGAACACUUAACAUUUUUCUUGCAUUUGAGGCAACAGUAAACAGCUCCCCAUUGUAAAAACUGAAAGUGAUGGUCACAUUCUCCUUAAAAAAUGCAUUUUGCAUGCCAAUUUUCCACAAAAAUUAACACUAAACUAGAUUUGUUUAAGAAAUAACUAAACAUCAGCACAAACUAUCAAAGAAAUCAUUUGCAAUACCUAACAUAAAAUUUGGUAUUUAUGUUGAGCUUUUCAUUACAUCUAGAACCUAUAUGCUAUAUUUACUAGUAAAUGAACUCGUUAAAAUACCUUUAAGUGACUAACAUAAACAUAUGCACUUAAAAUCUCAAACAUCACAAUGAUACACUGGAAGACAAAUCCACAGUCCUGUAUUAGAGAUUAUGAAACAAAAUCUAAAUGUAGUGAUUUGUUGAGAACAUAUCACAAUGUAACAAAGUUGAAGUCCCAGGUUCCCUAUAUAUCUAUAUAAUUUUGUGCAGGCCAAUACUGUCUAGAGGACUAGCUGACAAGGGCAUAGAUGCAAAUACCCAAGGAGCCAUAUAUGACUACAUCAUGCAGUACAGGAAUGGCGUAGCAAUAUCAGAACAAAUUCUUUGGACAGCCAGACAGGCAUCUGUGAGCACCACAGCACAAUCAUAAAAAUUUCUUUUGAUACUGCACCCAAUUCUCUAAGCACUACAUACUUCAGUCAAUUCAUAUUGUGCUGAACAGGUUUUGUACUACUAUUAUUAUUUCUGUUUCUUAACUUUUGUUUAAAAUGAAAACAACAAUACUUACAUGAAGAUAUAAUAAAAAAGAAGCAAAAAUGAUAUCAACUAAUGGUGAAACCAAACAAUAUGAAAUCCCGCUUAAUAAGAGUAAUCCGACUGCUUUCUACAUAAAAUGAACUUUCAAUUCAUAUUAUCAGAAAAGAAUACACAAUAUAUGAAACAAGCCAAGACCUAGGAGCAAACACUAUCUCCAGAUAACCAAAGUAAACAAGCAGAUAAAGUAAUCCUCCGACACGCACAAUGAAGCUCAAAUACCCACAUUACACAUGUAUACGCAACUACCCCCAAAGUCAUCAAAAGCAAAGGCAAUUCAAAUAGCACCCAGAAAAGGUCAAAUUUUUGUAGAAAAGGAAGAGGGGGGAGGGGAAGAAGCUGCAAAUAGGGGCAGUGCACUAACCACUUGUAACGCAAGAAAUGGCCAUCUAAGGGAUUGGUCUCGGAAACAUCAUCCGUGGUAACGGUCUUGUCUGGGCGGCGGAGGAGCACGUAAGGCGUGAGCUCACAUCCUACAAUGGGAAUAUCGGAAGGGAGGUGCACUCGCAGCACGCUCAGCAUGCUUCACUCUUUGACCCUAUCAACACCAAUGUUCUUCUUCUUCUCCUGCUGCUACUGUUGCUGCUUCUGACGCUACCGCCCGUAACUGUAUCUGUAACUGUAACUGUAAUACGACGUUUGCAGGGGCAGAUACCUGACGGAUCCGCCAUUUACAUGGCUCGAGUACCCGCCAGCCUUGACGGAGGCCCAAUCCGAAGAAACCCUAGGCGGAAAAUUAGGAGAUCUUACGAGAAUAGGAGAUUGGAGAGGGGAAUCGAUGAGGGGAGAGAGAAAGUGUGGGUUUUAGAGAGAGAAAGAGAAGAGAGAUCGAAGAUUAGGGUUUUACUGAGGGAGGAUGUGGAGGGAACAGUGGAAGUAAUCGCAAAAUGGGUUCGAGUUUGUGUCUUGUCGAGUUGUCUUCUGCCUUUGGGGGGAAACACUUAGACAAGAGAGAGAAACUGAGAAAGAUACCAUUAUUCUUUUUUAUAUCAAAAAAUAGGAAAUAUAUAUUAUCACUUUUUAAUUAAUAACCUUAUUUUCUUGCCAUGUUAUUAGUGUAAAAAAUUUUAUACGUGCAUCCAAUUAUAUAAUAUUAUAUCAGUAAAAAUAACUACUUUUCACAUUGACGUAAAUGAUCAUAAAAAAACAUAUAAUUACACAACUGUAUAAAACAUUUUAUAUUAUCAGUGCAUUAAAUUAAACUCUAUUAUUACAUGUUAAAAAUUAUGAAAGGAUUAGUUGCCAUUUUUAAAUUUUAACUAAUAUUUCAACUAAUAAUGUUCUAAGGAGCAAAAUUUAUGUGUUUGUAAAUAUCCCUUAUCAAGAGUAAGGUAUAUCGCGCACCAAACGAUAUCAAUCAUCCACGUUAGUAUCACUAAUCAUGAGUGGGGAUAGAACAUUGGUACUUAUAAAAUGAAUAUUGUUACUCCCAUCUUACUAUCAUACCAUCAUUACAAUCUUCACUGCUUACUUAACGAGUGUUUAAUAUCACUAUCUGAAAGUGAUCAAAGAUUAACAGUUGUAAUAAUUACCAGAAGAAACAGGUCAAUAUAAAAUUAACUACAAUACUAUUACGUUCGUUUUCUUUAUUCCUUUUCAACGAGCAGUUAAUGUUACAGGGGACAUGCACUACAAGCCGAUAGAAAUAAAGUGCAAAAGAGUUUCAGAGUUGAACUAGAAGAACCCCCUCCUUCACUUGGUGGAAUUUUUAACCAGUGCAAUAAUUAUAUUCACACGUCGUUGAUGGUAUCAUGAGGUUCAUUCCGACUUCGUUAGUUCGUUCAUCAUCAGAGUAUCUUUGAAAUAUCGUCUAUACUUUAUUGGAUCUUUGGCCAUUAAUACAUGAGCAAUAAUAGUAGUAAUCUCUUUACAAUUAUACUAUGGCACAAACUUUAAUUUUCAAUACUCAAGUACCUAUGUACAACUUGAAAUAACUUGCAUAAAAUCAAAUUAACUAAAUAGUAAUACGAUAAAAGUUUAACACAAUUAUAUAUUUAUAUGCUGCCAAGUGAGCAGAAGAAAUUGACUUUUGUACUUAAUAUCCAUAAUCUCAACAAAAUAUAAUAAAAAUAGAAGAGAGAGCUUUGUGUCUACAUGACAAUGCAUUAUCAACUGUCAAUUUAUAACUCUUUACAUUAACAAUGGACAGAAAUUAAAUAAUAGAAAUGCAUCAUUACAGUUACAUCAUUCUAAUUUAAGAAAAUGCUGAUGAUAUUCUUGCAAAUAAUUUGUAUUUGCUAUCUACCAGAAAUUAUGAGGUAGAGCCGAAAACCUACUAUUCCAUUAAUUAUGCCCAUGCUAGGCAACUCACCUCGUAUGUGACAAAAUUCACAAACUUAAAUCAAUACGCCAUCCUAAACUAGUAAACUUUCAGGUUAGCAAAUGAGAUAAACAGUUUUCAAGAUAUAUUAUAAUUUAAUGGAGACAGAUAUCUAUAAGCCCUGGACUCAGCACUCAGCUGUCACUUGAUCAGAAGGACUUCAAGAAUGGAAAGAUUGAUUAGUUAGUUGAGUUUUAGAUGUAUAAAGCCCGUGGGAAAAUAAGAAAGCUUUCACUUUAUAAAAAAUAUAUAUAUUAGGGAAGAGGAGGGUGAAGUAAGCAAAUCAGUAAAAGGGAUGAUAAAUUUUCUAUGAAACAAAGGUAGCAUGAUACAAAGCAGAUCAUUGCAAGGACCCCCACAUGGGAGAUACCUGGGAAAAAAGACAAAGGCCAUGAUCUACCACUCUUACAAUAUCUUGUCAACUAAAUGCUUGAUUCUUUCAACCUUUUUGUUUACGUAUAUCCGGAUCCGACCUACAAAAAUUGAGAGCCAUCACCACAAAAAAAGUAGUAAAGCAUAAAGACAUAAAAAGGACCAAAACUCUACCCAAUGUGGUAGUGGAACAAAACGAUCAAAGACAAGAACGAUUCAAUGUGGGAAUGGAAACAAGACACAUCAAGGACGAGUACAGACACAAUAAGAUUGUAAAAAUCAUCAGUGAAACAGUCAAAUCCUGGAGAAAAAAAUAUCAAUGGCAUAUAAGAUAGGGGAAAUCCUUCAUCACACCAAGAGAUUACUCCAGCUGAUAAAAGUCCUUCAACUUUUAAAGAGACUCAAACAAAACUGGUACAUACCUAUUGGGCUCAGUGUUCAUAUUUAACAAGAGGAGAAAACUUAAGAGAUUGCCAGUCAUUAAGGGUCUAUCUAUGUGGGAAUUAUGAUAAAAUGGAAGGAGAAGUUUUAGGUCUAUGUCCCCUACUUAGCACGUCUCUCAACAUCUAACAAAAUUAUUAUUUUUAAAAAAUUAUGAAUAAAAUAAAAUAUAUACACCAACACAAAUCAAAACAUAAGAGGGUGUAAAGGACAAUUCAUUUAUCAAGGGAAUAAGGAGUGAUAUUAGUAAAUAGUACCUUAUGAGUCAGCGCCUAGAUCUAUUUUUGCAGCAGCGGAACUCAGCUAACAGAGCUAUAUGAUCUGAGGACCAUUCGGGUGAAGGAAGAGCUGUAUCCUUCCUCAAACUUUCCUCGUCCAAUAGCUCCAACAACGACUCCACAACCAAGGAAUCCGCUGAAAAAACAAAUGAUGUUACUUCACAAGCAAGAAACCAGGAUGUUAGAUUUAUUAGUAAGAUAAUAUGGCAAGAUAGCUUACCUGUGUAGAAUAUGUAAUCUAGAGAUCCAAUAAAAUCUCUAGUGACAUUGGUGAAUAAAGGUUCAUUUGUUGUGCUGUCCAAUCUCCGUCUAUGCUGCUCAUACCCAACACCAAUUGUUCUUGCAAAAGAUGAAUAUGCACUGACCUAAAACAGAAAGGAUGCCACACCCAAAAAGUUAAAGUUAAUAAGAAAAGUUGACAAGGAAAUACAGAAUUAAAGCGAGAGAGAUUAUAUAUAACUUCAAAUAUACUUGA
rnacentral:lncRNA from 1 species